UUCUUCUUUAUCUUCUAUUUCUCCUCUCGACAUUUAGAGAGGCCCUUUUGCGGACGAUCAGCGUGCGUGUAAUGGCCCCAACCAAGUUGCGGCCAUUCCUCUUACUCUCUGUUGGUAUCUCAAUAAACCCUAGUUGCGUUUGGGAUCAUCGUUAGGGCGUCACAGUCGUAUGAUUCGCUUCCCCUUUUCUCCGAUCUACGAGAAGUCGAUUCAAGUGGGAUGGAGGAGGUGACAUUGUCAGAGUGGGUCGUGUGGAUGGUUCGCGGGUAAAGCCAGCCACAGCAACCGCUUCCAUCACUCGUCGUGACACAAAUUCCACCAGAGCCAGGAAAAGGAGCUCAAGAUAUGACACAGGUCAACUACACGACGCUUUCUUGUCCUUGAUGUAUACACUUAUGGACAUAUAGUCGUCAUAAGAAAAUUCUUCCUCUCCAUGACAAUGCCUAGAUUCCAUUAUCAUCACACUUCGCCAUAUCCCAACCCAAGGUACGCACUUCUGAUCGCCACCAGCUUGGUUGUGACACUCUCCGCGUCCAACCGUGCUUGUGGUGUUCCUUUCGAGCAGAGCAGGCCAACUUCGACCAUGGAGACCACGCAAUUCGCUGCGCGAUCGUUACCUUCCAUGGCCGAUCGUAUCGCAGGAUCCACGAUUUCCACUACUCUGUCAGCGAAGGCCGCCGCCUCGACGAAGCUGCGAAGCGAUCGACCGUCCCUGAACAUGUCGUCGGUAGGCCUCUUCCCUGUCACCAUCUCCAGCACAAGUAUUCCGUAGCUGUACACGUCUCCAUGCGCGGAAACUUCCCCUCCGAUCCCGUACUCUACAGCAUAAGAUCAAACACGGUUGUAUCGCGUUGCACUCAGCGAGGAACUUCGUCAACCCAUAGUCACCCAAGUGGGCAGCCAUGUCGUCGUCGAUAAGAACGUUGCUCGGCUUCACAUCACAGUGAACGAUUGGCGUUUGGCCAUGGUGACGAUGCAGGUACUCCAACGCAGACGCGACAUCGAUCGCUAUGCACAGUCUUUCGUCAAGGCUCAGAUGCUUCGUCUCACGAUCCGAGGCAACCGUUGGGUGCAACCAAUCAUCUAGACUCCCGUUGGGCACGUACUCGAACACGAGAGCUUUGAAAUCAUUUCCGCUGCGGUCGAUGGUGGAGCAGCAAGUGAGGAUCUUGACGAGGUUCCGGUGCCGGAUGCUUCUCAGGGCCUCGCAUUCUGCCAGAUAACUCUUCAGAGCUCCUUUCUGCUCCAGGUUCAGUACCUUUACUGCAAGUCCCUUCUCGUAGCCUUCCAGAGUUCCUUUGUACACACAGCUGAAGCUACCGGUGCCAAUUAAAUUGGCCGAAGAAAACCCGUCGGUCGCCUUGUGCAGCUCUGCGUAAGACACCAUUUUGAACUGAUCUCUCGGAGAAGAUUCGAGCGGAGAUCUCUUGCUCGACGCCGUCUUCCACAUGAGAAUGAUGAUGGAGAGAACAAUAAAGCAGGGGAUCAAGCUGGCGAGUCCUAUUGCGACACUUCUCAUUCUACUUUUGUUAGAAGAGUCGACAGGGCAUGGUGGAAGGCGUAACGCCGGAUGACCCCCGCAAAGCUUGGGAUUCCCAUCGACGAAAACUUCGCUGGCGUUGGCGAAGGCACCUUCUGUUGGAACCGGACCAUCGAAAUCGUUGAAGGAAAGGUUGAGAUAUUGGAGACUGCUGAUACCAGCCAAGAAUUUGGGGAUUUGCCCAGAUAAUUCAUUACGCGAAACAUCGAGCCUCUGAAGGCUUCUCAAGUUGCUCAAUUGCGAAGGUAUGGCACUCUGGAAGAAGUUUCCUUGCAUGUAAAGGUAGUUCAAGGUCUCGCAACCUCCAAGACCACUAGGAAUUUGGCCAGAAAGCUUGUUUUCAGAAACGUCGAGCAGAACGAGGAGCUUCAGCUUCUGGAUGUCACUUGGAAUCGGACCGACCAGAGAAUUAUGAGACAGAUCAAGCACCUUUGUGAGAGAAGUAAUGCUGACGACCUCUCUGGGAAUGGCGCCACCGAGCUGGUUACGAGAAAGAUUCAGCUCGUUCAACUGCUUGAAGUUGAUAAAGCUCCGCGGUAUGCCUCCUUGCAAUCGAUUGUCUCCCAAGUUGAGUACUUCUAGCUGCGUGUGGUUCCCCAGUGACUCAGGAAUGGGGCCGGAGAGCUUGUUCCCAAACAAGUAUAAUCGAGUCAAGUUGCGAAGGGAUCCAAUCUCUCUAGGGAUGCUGCCGUUCAGAAGGUUUCCAUUGAGAUCAAGCUGCUGCAAGCCACGGAGUUUCUCUAUCUCCGGCGGAAUGGCCCCUGAUAUCUGAAGCCCUGCUAAAGACAACCACUCGAGUUGCGCAGAGAGGUUCGCUAUAGAUGCAGGAAAUCUGCCUGCAAGAUCAUUGUCGGACAGAAACAGCCAUGUAAGCUCUGUGCAGUUAGACAGAGAAGCAAGGAAGCUCCAAUCCGUGGCAUCCCUGGCCUUGAACCGAUUACCCUCGAGGUUCAGAACGGCUAGAUUAUGAUGCUGACCCAAAUCUGCUGGGACAACUCCAUUGAAAUUGUUCAAAGAAAGAUCAAGAUAGUAGAGUUCAGAAGCAUUGACUAAUGAUCGUGGUAUUGAACCUUCCAAUCUAUUCCCCUGAAGGAUAAGGUCUUCGAGUCCCGGAACAGCAUGGCCUAUAUCAGGCGAAAUGGUUCCUACGAGCUGGUUUAUCCCGAGGUUCAAAGAACCGAGCCUCGAUAGAUUGUACAGAGAUGGCGGGAUCGUACCGGAUAACUUGUUGACGGAAAGAUCAAGAACUCUUAAGCUGGUGAGGCUGCCCAGGCUUUCUGGUAUAUUCCCCUCCAAGCUGUUUGUUCUUAGAUAAAGAUAGGUUAGAUUCAAGCAGUUGCCUAGCGAUGGCGGUAUGCUUCCUACCAAGUUGUUGCUGGAGAGGUAGAGGUGGGUGAGGGACGACAGGUUGCCAAGAGAAGGUGGAAUCUUUCCGGUGAGACUGUUAUUGGACAGCAUGAUCUGGGUGAGAGAAGAGGAGCUGCUCCCCAGGCUUGCUGGAAUGGCUCCUGUAAGGUUGUUGCCAUUAAGGUAGAGCCAUAAAAGUUCUGAAAGCGAUCCAUACUCUGCAGGAAUGUCUCCGACGAGGCGGUUCCCUGAGAAACAAAUGACGCUGAGGUUGGAGCAUCGAGCGAGGCUCGCAGGGAGCUUUCCCUCGAGCUUGUUGUCAUCGAUCCUGAUGAUCCGGAGUCUGGAACAGCGAGAUAGCGUGGCUGGGAUUUCACCUGAGAGAGCAUUAUUGCUGAGGUCAAGAUUCGCCAGCCGACGCAAGUUUCCCAGCUCAGGUGGGAUGCUUCCAUUGAACUGGUUGUCUCCGAGGUGGAGGUUCCUGAGGGAAGUGAGGUUGGCUACGGAGGGCGAUAUGGGACCGGCGAGGCCGAGCGAGACCAGCCUCAAGGCUGUGACUCUCCGGCCAUCUCUGCAUCUCACACCGUGCCAGUCGCAGACAUGUGACGUGUGGUUGUUCCACGAGGACAGUGCCGAGCCGGGAUCGGAUAGCAGAGACUUGAACGACAGGAGAGCGAGCACGUCGUCGUCGGCGGAGGACGUCGAGUUGGACGCGGAGUCAGAAGCGAGGAAGGACUGGUGCGUCGAUACGGCCAUGCAAGCUAAAAGGAUGAGUGUUUGAAGCACCAUUUGAUUGGUACUUCCCGUGGAAGCAAACUGAGUUCAAGGGCUACGGCUAAGCAAAGGGACGAGCUAUUGAGUUGAAUUCGAAGGAGAAGAAAACAUCCACUUGUUUUUAUACAGAGAUAUCGGGCGAGCAAUCAAAGAACAAGUUAUGGUUCUGACUACAGAGCCAUGGAGAACGUGACCAUGGAAUGGAAGUGUGGGUGAAACAGUUAAGACUAAUCCAAUCACUCAUUUGUUCUUAACAAGCUUAGUCAACGCCACUUGUUCUUAUCAAAUGUUCUUAUUAUUCCAAACGUUUGUCAGUGGGAUAUUAUGGAUUAUAGUUGAUGAGUGUUGUUUGAGCAUAGAACUCGCAAAGCAGAUUGAUUACAUUUUAUUUUUCCUUGAGAGAAUGGAGUAAGAAGAUGGGCAUGUCCAUCUGGUCAAGGCCUAAAGAGAUUCUCUUUGAACAGGAGAAAUAAAACAAAGCCAAGUAUCAUUGA